UAGUUGCGGGGCAGGGGAAGGGAGACAACUUUCAUAGCAGGGGAGAGGAUGCCAGAGGCGUGCGAGAAAGUACCAGCUUGAAACCCCGGAGCCAGCAAGCCAACGCUGUUUUGGUUUGAGUGGGGGUGCUGGUGUGUGUGGAUGCGAUGUAGGGCGACAAAGGGACGAGCUCUCGGCCCGGACCAGGUCUGUGUGGAGCACAUUGCCCCCGGAUAGGUCCAUGUUUCUCCCAUCUGGAUGCUGCGUAGAAACACAAGGAGAGUAGACCGUCAAGUGCCCUUGUGGACGGGGGAACGAGGUAUCUGGGGAAUAGGAAGUUAUUUGCACGAUGCUGGCCCGGGCCUGGAGUAAUUCCAUUCUUAUCAAGAGAAGUGGUAAUUUGGGGUGGAGAGAGGGUACUGGGGGCCAAUUCACGAUGAGGGCUUCGGUAGACCAUUUCUCAUUCUGUCCCCGGAACAACCCUACGAAACUGUCAUUCUUAACCAUAAAAGCCGCUUUACAGGUGUGAAAACAUUGGCCGAGAGUCGUGCCAGGAUCUGAACCUGGGCCGGGCCCUACGGAGCAGGAGUCCGUACCCAUGGUGGCCUUCCCAGUAACGGGAGGGGGGUUUGGGGUGGUUGUUGUUGUUGUUGUUGUUGUUGUUUGGGUUGUUGUUGUUGUUGUUAUUGUUUUGAAAGUGAAUGGUCUUAAUUAUCUGCACUGUUCAGUGGCCAGGUUACAAAUUGGCCAGUUAGGGCUGUCUGGCUCCCAGGAGUGUUUGCUUUUGGUUCAGGGUAUUGACUUGCAAAAUGUCUUCUGAAGACUUGAAGUGGUUACCAACAUUUAAAACUUGAGAGACUACAUUAAAAUCCCCGAUCUCUGGCGUCCUUUGUAAAAGGCGAAGCUCUGACAACCGGGGCUCCGUUUCCGAGCAGAGCAGAGCUGGCUGGAAGUGUGGGAGCCUCUCCCGCUUGGACCUGGGGCGGGAGCUCCCAUCCGCCACGCUCCCCCCUGUUGCGUUUCCCAUUUACAUUACGUGGCCCCAGUAGGCGUUUGAGCUUGUUUAUUUACCUGAGAUCACCCGAUCAACGCAAAGCUGAAAGUAUUUAGUUAUUCAUGGCUUGGUCCUACAGAAGUAUAGACAAUGCUAUCAUCGUGGAACCAGACUCCUCCUGAGUUUAAACAACGUAGUUUUGAGUGUGGUAAACACUCAGAGGGUUAAGAGGGGGCCGCACUGAGGAGUUAUCCCCCCGACCUGGGAAGCGCCGCAGAGGUGGGGCCUCCAAAUCUUUUGUCACAGCGCAGAGCCACGGGGACUCUCCCAGGGCUCAUUUUGACUGUCUUAAUACUUAAGGGACACCAUUAACUUUCUGACUGGAUGAAUUAGGAAACUUCUGGCCACAUCGUGCGCCCUGAAAUGCAGGGAAUACAUUCAUCGAAAGAAAAGCCAGUCCUACGGUUGUUUACCUACAGAGAGGGUGCCAAUCUCGUCCUGGAACAUUAUCAUUACAAAAGGUUGUUGGCCACGUGACCCCUACUAGCUACUGUGCUGGGCUCUGGGAGACAGUGCUCCCUACCCCCGUGGAGGUUAUGCUGAGGACCAACACCUCGCAAAGCCAAUGUGCAUGAGAACCACCCAAGUCUCUGGUGAAAAUGCACAUCUGAUGGUGAAAAUCUACCUGAGCUCCACAAACUCUGGUGAUGCCCGCGUGCCUGUCCCCCGGACCUCGCUUUGAGUAGCAAAGGCUAGAGGGUGAUACAGCGGGAUGCGCAGGAACGUUUCUCCACGGCCAUCAAACACGUCCAUUCACCGUCAUGGUCACUAAGCUUCCGUGCAUCCCUGCUUUCGAUCCGAGCCCAAAGCCUCCCCAGCCAGCACCAACAAAUGAAGCGGAGUGCAAUGGUCACAGGUGAGGACUCUUUCCUUGUUGCUGAACCUUGGACCUACGACUAAUACUCCAGUAUGUGCUGAACAGAACUGGGUAAACAAAACACUCUCUGCUGCUUGGAACCUUCCUGAAAAGGCUGUGAUGAAUUCCUUGAAAGGGAAGGGCGACUUCAUCAACUCCUGUAAUUCUAGGAAAGCGUGGUGGAGCGUCUAUGCAGCUAUGGCAGGAGAACCUGUAUGUCUUCCCUUUGGUUGUCUGUCUCCCCCACCAUUGUUUCCGUGGCACUGAAGGGCGACCCGUCUUAUCUCAAGAUGAGGUUAAGUCAAGGGAAGGAAGAUGAGCACAGAGGGGUGGGAGGGAAUGGGGACAAACAGGCAGAGGUGGUCUGGCCGGAGUGCGUAGGGGCCACGGGAUGGUGUUGACACGGAAGGACCUUCUUGGAACACUCUGAAAAUCUCUACCUGUACCUAAGGCGACUUGGGUGACAGGCGUCUUCGUUCCUUUAUGCAGGGCUUCUGAUAGAAGAACGUCAUGGCGUAGUCUGAGUUAUAACCCACGGUGAGGAUAAAGUCAUAAAAGGAGCUCUCCAGCUGCGCGUGUAGGGAGAACACUGGCCUCGCUUAGUGAUGCUGGCCUGACCCUGAAUUGUUCCAUAGCCGGGGCAACAGGGUCGGGGGAAGCAACUGGGACUCCACAAGUGGUAGGGGAAGGAGCGGAUUGUGACAGUCUGUAUCGCUGAUGGUAAAAGAGCUCCUUUUUUUGGUCUGGCAGCCUAGGGUAUAAUCAGGAGAAUUUAGGUCUGUUACACUUUCCUCAGUGUAAGAGGCAACCACCCACUAACCCAUUUCUGACAGUUCUUAAUCUGUGAAGCUUUAUGCAAUUUAACUCGUGCAGGCGAUCUUCUGUAAUUUCAGGCUCUCAAUGAUGUUUCGUUUUCUUCUUUAACCCGAACUCCUACUCCAAACGCUCAUUUCUUUUUCGGACAACCACAUGAGGUCAUAAUAACUGUGUUUACUAAUAGUUUCCUUACUCAUUGGCAACUAUGAAGCCAUCUAAUCACUUUACAAAUAACACAUGACCAGGGUGUUUAUCUGCCUUAUCACACUUGUAUGGUUUUUAAAUUGAGUGUUUUCCCUAGAACUUCUUAGAAAUCAAACAUUCGGUUUGGAAUUUCUUCCACCUACUGACAUACUUAUUUUUAACUUUUGCCUUGGCCUUUGUUCAGAUGUGUCAUGAAGGCAGUAAGUCUUGGCUGGAAAAGUAGUCUUUCCCUCCCGCCCCCCCCCACCCCCCAGCAGGGAGGGAGUAAUCCUAUCUGUCAUGCAAAUUUUGUUUGCCAGAGGGUCGGUCCUGUAGGAAAACACUUCCCAUACCACUGAAGGUGAAUACCGAAGACCACGGUGCCCAAACUUCCCACGGCCUUGGUUCAUUGUCCUUGUGUUAAGGAUCUCAGCAGGUGCGGGAGUCUUUGGAAUAGGCAGAAAUACUCCUGGCUUUGUGUUGGUUGCCUCCAGCUGGUUGGGACUUUCUACGGUGAACUUCCAUUCAGGGAUCUCCAUUUUGGAUGUCUCUUCCUUCCCCCCAAGGAGGUCUGAAACUUUUUGAAGGAGAGUGCCAAGGGUUGGUACUGGGAAGGGGAUGCUUCACUGGGUGGUGCAUCCUUUUACAAGGAGAAAAGGAGGCUCUUCCUGGGUAUAUUUGGAGGCGGCGAGGGUGAUGAUCCACCAGCUGAGGAGACGUGAACAGAAUCUGCAAUAACCACUGUGCUUAUAGCCAGAGAGCCCUGCUCCUGACGCUGAUUACACAAGCCCAGCUCCGGGUGAAUGUGCCCCCCCCCCCCCCCCCCGGGACUAGAGGAACUCUAGGCUUCUUUACAAAUGUCAGAUGUCUGUCGGCACCCCGGAGAUAACUGGAACAGGCCCCCUUGCCCUGUCUCUGUUUCACUAAUUACUGGUUCUUUAGAAUGUUGUCCCUGCGUGAGCCAGACCUGGAGGUAUUGUUUAUCAACCAAUUUGAUCUAUUUAGAACAGAGACUCGUCUCUUUCUGCCUUGAUUUAUAGCCCUAUAAGUUCAACUGACAGAUUUCCUGCUACCGACUGAAACUUCUUGCAGAGGGGAUCCAGUACCCAGCGCUGCACCUGGGAAAGAGAAGGUAUUCAAUGUUUAUUGAACGGAGACAGUGAAAUGUGGUUAUAGUGACGGAAACAUCAUGAGGCAGUAGAACAUAUGGUCAAACAGAGCUGACACAGUCUCUCUAGUUCUUGUAUAAUUGUUACCAUCUAUUGAUCUCCAGCGAGACGUCCUAGGAGAGACAACAUAUUUCUAGUCAAAGCCACCACCUUGCAAAAAUAGUCGUAAAAUCCUCUUUUAAUACAGGAAAAAGACAGAUGCUCAGAGACAUUAGGCAACUUGCCUGAAACCACACAGCUGAGUGAGUGGCUAGAGCAAGUGGGUUCCUUUGCCUCCAAGGGCCCUGGGAACUCCCCCUGCAUUGAGCCACCGCUCUGCGCCAUCUCCCUGCUGGAGAUGUACCGAGUGAGACGGGAGCUACGACUGCACAUCAGGCCAAGUAAAUCAGGUGGUGCUGGAAAGUACUGAAGAGUGGGCCCUCCGUCUCCCUAAAAGGUUGCUGUGCGGUCCUACGAGGCUGGUGCAGAGCAAAGGCCUUGGCUGGCCGUCUUCCUGGAGCAUGGCGGCUGCGUUGGGGUCAGAUCAGAGCCUUGGCACCACGUUGAAGGGGGAGUCACACGGGCCACCAGCCAUUCGCACUGCCUGCCUCUCGCCUCGGAGCUCCCAAACUCCUACUCAAGAGAAUAAUCAAGUAUCCGUGUUAAGUGGGUAAAAAUCAACCUGCAUUUCCUCGCUGAAACUCAAAGCCAGUCCUUCUGAGACAGGAAAAAUACCGAUAGAAAUGUGUUUGAUGGGGCGCCUGGGUGGCUCAGUCAGUUAAGCCUCCGACUUCGGCUCAGGUCAUGAUCUCACAUUUCGUGGGUUCGAGCCCCGCGUCGAGCUCUGUGCUGACAGCUCAGAACCUGGAGCCUGCUUCGGAUUCUAUGUCUCCCUCUCUGUCUCUCUGCCCUUCCCCUGCUCACGCUAUGUCUCUCUCUCUCUCUCAAAAAUAAACAUUAAAAAAAUUAAAAAAAGAAAAAAAGAAAUUGUUUGAGACAGCCAGUUCCCUCCCCCAGCUCUGCCUCAAUCUCACUUCCCCUCAAAGACAGCAGGAUGAUCGAAAGGUUGUGGUUAGACCCCAUGACAGGCCUCGAUCUUCCACCAGUGAAUCACUGGGAGGAGUGGUGGUCUUUGCUCUGCCCCUAGAAUGAUCUCUCACUCUUGCCCUUCUCUGCUAGAGUCCAGAGUGCCCGAGUGCUCUCCUGUCUUAUCUUCAAAUCCCCAGACCUGACCAGUGGUGUCACUCCUGCACCAGAGCAUGUGUUUAACCUGGGAAAAGCCUCUUCUUCUAGGAAGAAGUGUUUCUUGUCCCCUUCUGUGCCGUCACAGGCACCAGAUGAGUUAUAGGAACUGAUAACAAUGUCUAUAGCUUCCUUUAGAAACUCUACCAUGACAAUCCGACCACAGUCUAUUAGCCACGUUACCUGUCUCUUCUUGUCUAUAGCUGCUUCGCUGCUGGAGAAGCAGGGCUGUUGGACAAGCAGCAGCUAAGGUGAGAAGGGAGAUGGGUAACCGGGUGGCUUUAGUCCCUUGCAGUCAUGCAGAGCACUGCAGCGGUCAAUCAGGUGAGCUCAGAGCCAAGGGUUUAGGCUGCGGUUCAACCAUGACCUAGUCCCAUAAACUCGGACAGGGUACUUAAUCCUAAUUUCUUUUGUCUCCAAAGCCAGAAUAAUAGCAGUACCCACCUCACUGGGUACCUGUAUGUAUUAAAUGAGAUCAUGACAUAAAGCGUUUAGUCCGUACUAAGUGCUCAGUAGCUCCUGGUAUUAUUAUUAUUACAGGGAGUACUGGAAAAAGUCUUGUCCCGUAAAGGCUAGAACUUGCCCCUAACUCCUAACCCAUCGACAUCUUCCAUCCAUUUCUUUGCUCUGACUCCGCUAGGGUAAAAGAUCUCAUAAAGUCUUGUCCUGUAAAGGCUAGAACUUGCCCCUAACUCCUAACCCAUCGACAUCUUCCAUCCAUUUCUUUGCUCUGACUCCGCUAGGGUAAAAGAUCUCAUAAAGGAAUCCGCCAAGGUCUCACAGUUGAGGGUGGGCUGUAUAUCUAUAUCUAUAUAUCUAUAUCCAUAUCUAUAUCUAUAUCUAUAUCUAUAUCUAUAUCUAUAUCUAUCUAUCCAAAAUGUUUAUUUACUUCUGAGGUGGGUAGGGCCGAGGGGAGAAGGGAAACACAGGAUUCAGAGCAUGCUCUGUGGCUCAAACUCACGAACCCUGAGAUCAUGACCUGAGCUGAACUGGGAAGCUUAGCUGACCGAGCCACCCAGGCACCCUGAGGCUGGGCUUUAUUAAUUUGCUACGGCUGCCAUAACCAAGUACCAUACACUGGAUGGCUUAAAAUAACAGAAAUUUGUUGUCUCACCGUUCUAGGGGCUGGAAGUCUGGGAUCGAGGUAUCGCAGGGUUGAUUCCUUCUAAGGGCUGUGGGGAGAUUCUGUUCAUGCCUCUGCCCUAGCUUCUGGUGAUUUGCUGGCCAUCUUUGGCCUUCUUAGAUUCUAGAAGCAUCACCCCAGUCUCUUCAUCUUCCCAUGGCGCUGCUCUCUGUGUAUGUCUGCCUAUAGGACCAAAUUACCCCUUUGUAUAAGGACACAAGUCACAUUGGAUUAGGGCCCACCCUAAUGACCUCAUCUGUGGAGACCCCAGUCAUUUAACCUGAGUUAAUUUAAACUUGUUGCUAUUCAGAUGCCUAAUAUCUUGGCUUUUCCGGUCUCCAGAAUCAGCUCUAAUAUUUUUUGUUUGUUUGCUUUUUGAUAGCAAAAACUUCCGAGGAACAGAGGCACCCGCAAAAUAAAUACGAAUUAAGGAUUCCCCGGGGAAUUGUUUUUUUUCCCCUGUGCUUUAGAAAGUUUGGAUUCUUUAUUUCUGUGACAGGGCUGCAUUCUAGCAACUCAGUGACGUAUCAUAUUGUCUCUACUGUAGUGCGGUAAACGGCUGGAAAAGACAGAGAAAAAUAAAAAACCUAUCAAAAGAGAGAGAGAGAGAGAGGGGCGCCUGGGCGGCUCGGUUGGUUAGGCAUCCGACUUCAGCUCAGGUCAUGAUCUCACAGUUCGUGGGUUCGAGCCCCGCAUCGGGUUCUGUGCUGACAGCUCAGAGCCUGGAGCCUGCUUCAGAUUCUGUGUCUCCCUCUCUCUCUGACCAUCCCCCACUCACAAUCUGUCUCUCUCUCUCUCUCUCUCAAAAAUCAAUAAACAUUAAAAAAAUUUUUUUAAAAAGAGAGAGAGGGAAAUGGUUACAUUAGAAGUCCACCAAAUGCCUAAUUCAUACAAGCACUUGUGUGUGUCUUUUAUUUUGAGACUAGAAUCCAAAAUCACGACCUGUAUCAAGAUUUCACAUUAUGGCCAGCCACCUGGAGUUUUUUUUUCCUUUUUUUUUUUUAAACUUUUUAUUUUGGAGUAAUUAGAGAUCCAUAGGAAGUCGCAAAGAUAGUCCUGAGAAAUUCCCUAUGUCCUUCAAGCACUUUACCUCAGUGCUGGCACGUUAUGUAUCACCCACUGCUUUUUAAAGACGAUUGUCCUGGGCAACAAUAAUAUACUGGGAUUAUUUGCUGGAAAAUCUGAGCUGACUCAUCCACCCAAGCCCUGCCUUUAAAGGAACCCGGAACCACGGUGCCCCUGGCACCUUCCGCGGUCUCCAGACACAGACAUGCAGCUCUGCGCUGCAUGAGUUUCCUGAUCUGAUUUAUCUGGCUCUUUUCCAGGCGGGGAUUUCCACCAUCCAGUGUGGGAGGCCGCAGCCCACUUGGAUGAGACAGAAGGGGAAAUUUCCAAGGGGGGACAGUGUCAGCCCUUGCCUCGAGGACACCGAGGAUUUGCGAUUGGGAGGCUCGUGCGUCCUCUUGGUUUCAUUCUGCUCAUUUUCAUCGGUGGGCACCCGGAAGAAGGUGCCGUGGGGGCUUUGGAGAGGUGGGUGCUUCUGUCCAGCUGGCAGACGAAGGGGCCGAAGAAAUGAGUUACAGGUAAACUGGUGAGGGGGACGGCGGCUUCUCGGAGCUUCGGGAGGUGUCAGAGGCAUCCAAAGGAGGAGGACUGACUUUUGCCUGGAGCCCGCCUUGGAAGCAGGGAGUACCCGGGGUGGGGGGAAGGUACGAGAGGCAAGGGAGUCAGGAGGAGGGCAAACACCCCAAUUCUAGCCAAAAGCCCAUUUGGCUGUUCUGCUGCUGUCUUUCCAAUUAUAAAAAUAAGGAUUCUCAAGAGUUUAAAGAAAUACAGAAAGAUAUAAAAAGACAAUAAACCCACCUGUAACCCUACCACCCAGUAGUUUAAAAAACGAAACAGACCAACAACAAAUGUGGCAUCUUUCUUGUAGGAGAAAUGCAUGUUAUAAGAAAAGUGUUGGGGCACUUGGGCGGCUCAGUGGGUUGAGCGUCCUACUCUUGAUUUCGGCUCAGGCCAUGAUCCCGGGGUCAUGGGACUGAGCCCUGCUCCAGCUCUGUGCUGAGCGUGGAGCCUGCUUAAGAUUCUCUCUGUCCCUCUGCCCCUCUCCCCUGCUCACGUGCACUCUCUCUCUCUCUCUCUC